UAACCUAAUAUUAGAUUAAGAAGUAUCACAGGUAUCCUAUCAAAAUAAUAUUUUAUUGAUAGUUCACAUGACUGUGUUAGGUGGGUAUUUAUUAAUUCAAGGUAUGUUUAUUAUUUAUUAUAUUGAGGCAGUCCACCUGGUACGGAGGUUGGUGGAGCAGUAUAGGGAGAGGAAGAAGGAUCUGCACAUGGUGUUCAUCGACCUGGAAAAGGCGUACGACAAAGUCCCCAGGGAAGUGCUUUGGAGAUGCUUGGAGGUGAGUGGAGUACCGCAGGCAUAUAUCAGAGUAAUUAAGGAUAUGUAUGAGGGAGCAAAAACCCAGGUGAGGACGGCGGGAGGAGACUCUGAGUAUUUCACUGUCCUGACAGGAUUGCAUCAGGGAUCUACUCUUAGUCCCUUUUUGUUUGCGUUAGUAAUGGAGGUGUUGACGCGGCGUAUCCAAGGGGAGGUGCCGUGGUGUAUGCUUUUUGCAGACGAUGUAGUCCUGAUACGUCAACACAUCCAUUACUAACGCAAACAAAAAGGGACUAAGAGUAGAUCCCUGGUGCAAUCCUGUCAGGACAGUGAAAUGCUCUGAGUCUCCUCCCGCCGUCCUCACCUGGGUUUUCGCUCCCUCAUACAUAUCCUUAAUUACUCUGAUAUAUGCCUGCGGUACUCCACUCACCUCCAGGCAUCUCCAAAGUACUUCCCUGGGGACUUUGUCGUACGCCUUUUCCAGGUCGAUGAACACCAUGUGCAGAUCCUUCUUCCUCUCCCUAUACUGCUCCACCAACCUCCGUACCAGGUGGAUUGCCUCCGUCGUCGAGCGGCCGGGCAUAAAUCCGAACUGGUUUUCCGAAAUAGACACUAUCCGUCUCAGCCUCACCUCGACCACUCUCUCCCAGAUCUUCAUAGAGUGACUCAGUAACUUAAUCCCCCUAUAAGUUUAAAGGGCUCUAAGACAUACCACAUAGGAUUGACUAUAACUUACCUUUAUAUAUAUAUAUAUAUAUAUAUUGAUUAUGCACAGAGGUUUUGAUUCGUUUUAACUCGAAUAUAAACUUUGUUUAGAUUAACCUCCAAUCUGAAAACGGUGUUGGAAAUCUAAACCAAGUUUAUUAGUUUGACUAGUUCCAUAUUACAAAAAAUAUUUUAAAUUAUUAUUUUAUUAGUUUAUAGUAAGCACACAAACUAACCAAAAAGGUUCAACAUUAACUAUAUAUAUAAAAUAUAAUUUUAAUUCUAUAUACAUAAUAUAAUUUUUCAUCGGGAUCGAAUGUGUUAGAGAACUGAUGAGUCAUCUUUUGCAUAAUUAUUCCUGCUUUACUCUGUUCUAUAUUCUUUAUGGGUGCCGUAUCUAUGUUACGUCAUCUGCUUCUGUGCUGUACUAUGUGUUUGUAUGAUGUCUCGUGACUUGAGCCGGGGGUCUUUCGGAAACAGCCUUUCUACCUCAUCAGAGGUAGAGGUAUGGACUGCGUACAUCUUACCCCCCCCAGACCCCACUAAGUGGGAAUACACUGGGUUUGUUGUUGUUGUUGUUGUGUAUUGAGGCAGCAGGCCUAGCAGUGACCCAGCUCUUGGUGCCUUUCGAACUAUAUAAUCGUGACACUGCAUAGUCCUUUAUAGACAUAGUGGCUCGUGGCCAGUGUGGCUCAUUUGGUGUGUGC
rnacentral:lncRNA from 1 species